UCUGCUAUAGCAUCCAUGGACUGUUAAAUCUUCAAGAAGUUGGAGACUACCCAAUUUGAUGCAUCAUAAAAUUCAAAAUCGUCCCAGAAUCCACAGGCAAAAUAAUGCCAAGAUCUACUAUAUCAUGCUUUGUAGGGAGGACGAGCCAUGAAUUAAGACGACAAACAUUGACAUACCUAGAAUGGAGAAAAAGAAACUUGGACAUGGAAUUUUGAACUUGUCCUCAUAAAGCAUGAGAUGACCGGCCAAUGAAUCUAACAUUGGUGUCUGCAUCAUCUGCCAAGGGGACAAAUGCUGGGUUGGAGCCAGAUCCACAAAUACCUCCAACAAGAGGCUCACUGCCAAUGACUCGAUCCAUUGGCAAGAAGGAGAGGAUCUGGUGGAGCAAAGAAUCUGGCAAAAUACUGUCCUAUCAUACGCAUUCACACACUUCUGUGGCUUGUGGAGAGGCUAUAUCUCUCAGCACUCCUUAUCAUCUUUCACUUAUUGCGUGCGUAUAACUCUGCCUGAUGAUCCAUGAUAUCCAAUUUCAUCCAAUUAGGCUUCGCAAGGAAUGCCGCAUCCCUCCCAGCCAAAAACAUAAAAAUAAAAAUAAAAUAAUAAAAAAAUAAAAAAUUGCAAAUAAGUUCAUGGGAGAAAGAACAAAAAGUCAACCAAGCCAUGGGUCAGAACAACACAAUAUUACAAUCGCCUAAUUCCUAAGUGUUUGAUGCUCCGAUGAUUGGUGACAAACGCUUCUUUAACUCGACCAUAAGAACCUCUUAAUCACCCUCACCAAUAUUUCGUUAAAAAAGAAUCACGUAGUAGAAACUUUGAGAUCUUUGUUACCGAUUUUCAUUACAAGAGAUCUAUUAAUUCAGAGCGUAGGGAUCCCGAAUUGGGCCGGAAACUCUGAAUCUGAAAUAGGAUGAGACAAUAAAAGAUCAAGGUAGCUGAUAUUGGACAGUCAGCCGCAGAGGGCAUGAUUUGGAACCUCGAUUUAUAGACAGAUUUCGGAGAUUGGAGGUAUUUUUUUUGUGUUGGGGUUUACGCAUGGAAGAGGAUUAGGAUGGAGAGUAAUAUCGAGCAGAAUUAGGGUUCAUAAGGAUCACCUGCUCCAAAUGAGAAGCGAAGGAGGAGCCCAUGGAGACGGCCCUGGCUUUGGCGAGAGGCUGCCCGCCAUGGAUUCGAAAGGCUUCCCUGGUUAGCCUCGCAUAAGUCGUCAGCGAAUUGGACGGCUUCACACAGAAUCGAUGAUAUCCUUAUUAUAAAAAGAAAUGGUGAAGAGGGGCUAACCAGAACGUGGAAGGGAUGACACGAAUAGGUAAACGCGACGUGUUCG
rnacentral:lncRNA from 1 species